UACGUAGGGGGCUAGCGUUGUCCGGAAUUACUGGGCGUAAAGCGUGCGCAGGCGGCUUGCCAAGUCAGAUGUGAAAGCCCCGGGCUCAACCCGGGAAUGGCGUUUGAAACUGGCAGGCUAGAGUUUGGCAGAGGGGGGUGGAAUUCCACGUGUAGCAGUGAAAUGCGUAGAGAUGUGGAGGAACACCGAUGGCGAAGGCAGCCCCCUGGGCCAAAACUGACGCUCAGGCACGAAAGCGUGGGGAGCAAACAGG
rnacentral:rRNA from 1 species